rnacentral:rRNA from 3 species
CGGGUGGUAAUGCCGGAUGCUCCAGUUGAUCGCAUGGUCUUCUGGGAAAGCUUUCGCGGUAUGGGAUGGGGUCGCGUCCUAUCAGCUUGACGGCGGGGUAACGGCCCACCGUGGCUUCGACGGGUAGCCGGCCUGAGAGGGCGACCGGCCACAUUGGGACUGAGAUACGGCCCAGACUCCUACGGGAGGCAGCAGUGGGGAAUAUUGCACAAUGGGCGCAAGCCUGAUGCAGCGACGCCGCGUGAGGGAUGGAGGCCUUCGGGUUGUAAACCUCUUUUAUCGGGGAGCAAGCGAGAGUGAGUUUACCCGUUGAAUAAGCACCGGCUAACUACGUGCCAGCAGCCGCGGUAAUACGUAGGGUGCAAGCGUUAUCCGGAAUUAUUGGGCGUAAAGGGCUCGUAGGCGGUUCGUCGCGUCCGGUGUGAAAGUCCAUCGCUUAACGGUGGAUCCGCGCCGGGUACGGGCGGGCUUGAGUGCGGUAGGGGAGACUGGAAUUCCCGGUGUAACGGUGGAAUGUGUAGAUAUCGGAAAGAACACCA